rfam:Ornithorhynchus anatinus chromosome 4, whole genome shotgun sequence.
AGCAGCGUGGCUCAGUGGAAAGAACCUGGGCUUGGGAGUCAGAGGUCAUGGGUUCGAAUCCCAGCUCUGCCA